CCUACGGGUGGCAGCAGUAGGGAAUCUUCCACAAUGGGCGUAAGCCUGAUGGAGCAACGCCGCGUGGGUGAAGAAGGUCUUCGGAUCGUAAAACCCUGUUGUUAGAGAAGAAAGUGCGUGAGAGUACCUGUUCACGUUUCGACGGUAUCUAACCAGAACGCCCCGGCUAACUACGUGCCAGCAGCCGCGGUAAUACGUAGGUGGCAAGCGUUAUCCGGAUUUAUUGGGCGUAAAGGGAACGCAGGCGGUCUUUUAAGUCUUAUGUGAAAGCCUUCGGCUUAACCGGAGUAGUGCAUUGGAAACUGGGAGACUGGAGUGCAGAAGAGGAGAGUGGAAAUCCAUGUGUAGCGGUGAAAUGCGUAGAUAUAUGGAAGAACACCAGUGGCGAAAGCGGCUCUCUGGGCUGUAACUGACGCUGAGGUUCGAAAGCGUGGGUAGCAAACAGGAUUAGAUACCCGUGUAGUC
rnacentral:rRNA from 1 species